AGACAGAAAAGACAGGGAACAUGCAACAAAGGCACAUAUGUUAUGAAAGAGGAAAAACAAAAUGGAUUUGUUGAAAUAACUUAUUCCAUGACACAGGAGACUUGCCGCGACAAAAUCAUAAAACACUUCGUGCUGUCUUCGUGGAAAGGAGUAGAUAUACCGACAGACAGGACAAAAGUGCUUGAGAUGAUAGAGGCGGUGCAAACAUGGCAGCCUGAAAUGUCAGACGACACACCAAUAGUGAUACUAGACAAGUACGUAGAGCUAGAUGACAUAUUUUGUUGUUAAAACAAGCUCGUAUACCUACCUAUUGAAAUGUUAUAUAUUGGAAAUUUCUAAUGUUGUAUGCUGGUAUACAUGUAAUAUUUUUCGAAUACCAACCCGAAAUAUUAAUUAUUAAAAACUAAGGUGUACAUGUAUUCGUUUUGUCUCUUUAGAGUUUAAAACACGUAUUGUUCAAAUGUUUACGUUAUUUCCGAUAAUCGAUGACUUGAAGCGGCGGAUUCCAGAAAUGCGGAGUCGUUGCUGUUAUAUUGAACGAGAUUUAUCGCAUAUUACAACAGAAUGGGCAGAUCAACAUUUUACAAUCAGUCAAGACAAUGAUGUACGGAAAAAAGCCUUCUCAUCCGCAGCAUGAUGCAGUUCAAGUUCUGCUAUGAUGUGAUAUUGGACUAUGUUCAGCGAAAAGGGGUUUAUCAGAACUAUUAAUGUUACAAUGCCAUAUAAUGUGCUACAGUAUAUAGACUCGUUGUUACUUCCGAUGAGGAACAUGUAUCAAUUUGUUACGAAUUUGUUUCGUCUGAUGUUUGUAUGAGUUGCAUUAUUCAUAUAAUAUGGGUUUUAUUUAUACUGUCUAAAUAUGUGUAUAUAGACAUUGUUGCAACUAGUUUUGAAGUGUAUAGACCUGGUGUCCAUACUAUAAAAAUUAAUUUCUUCCGAUUGAAUGCACUGAUAUAGGUUAUAUUAAAUACCUUGUUGCGAUGUAAUGGUGUAAGGUUUAGGAUAACCUAUAAGGUCUAAACAUCUAAUUCAAUCUCCAUAUAUUGCCAUGCAAUAUAGUUAUAGUUUGGCUAUUGAUCACCUGGCAUGAAUAAAGGACUU